GAUGAAGAACGCAGCCAAAUGCGAUAAGUAGUGUGAAUUGCAGAAUUCAGUGAAUCAUCGAAUCUUUGAACGCACAUUGCGCCCCUUGGUAUUCCAUGGGGCAUGCCUGUUCGAGCGUCAUUUGUACCUUCAAGCUCUGCUUGGUGUUGGGUGUUUGUCUCGCCUCUGCGUGUAGACUCGCCUCAAAACAAUUGGCAGCCGGCGUAUUGAUUUCGGAGCGCAGUACAUCUCGCGCUUUGCACUCAUAACGACGACGUCCAAAAGUACAUUUUUACACUCUUGACCUCGGAUCAGGUAGGGAUACCCGCUGAACUUAAGCAUAUCAAUAAGCGGAGGA
rnacentral:misc_RNA from 1 species